CGGGGUGUAGCGCAGGUGGUAGCGCACGUGCUUUGGGAGCAUGGGGUCGGGGGUUCGAGUCCCUUCACCCCGACCA
rnacentral:tRNA from 1 species